UCUCGAAAGGGAUGCUAAUACCGCAUACGUCCUACGGGAGAAAGCAGGGGAUCUUCGGACCUUGCGCUAAUAGAUGAGCCUAAGUCGGAUUAGCUAGUUGGUGGGGUAAAGGCCUACCAAGGCGACGAUCUGUAGCGGGUCUGAGAGGAUGAUCCGCCACACUGGGACUGAGACACGGCCCAGACUCCUACGGGAGGCAGCAGUGGGGAAUAUUGGACAAUGGGGGGAACCCUGAUCCAGCCAUGCCGCGUGUGUGAAGAAGGCCUUAUGGUUGUAAAGCACUUUAAGCGAGGGGGAGGCUACUUUAGAUAAUACCUAGAGAUAGUGGACGUUACUCGCAGAAUAAGCACCGGCUAACUCUGUGCCAGCAGCCGCGGUAAUACAGAGGGUGCAAGCGUUAAUCGGAUUUACUGGGCGUAAAGCGCGCGUAGGCGGCUAAUUAAGUCAAAUGUGAAAUCCCCGAGCUUAACUUGGGAAUUGCAUUCGAUACUGGUUAGCUAGAGUGUGGGAGAGGAUGGUAGAAUUCCAGGUGUAGCGGUGAAAUGCGUAGAGAUCUGGAGGAAUACCGAUGGCGAAGGCAGCCAUCUGGCCUAACACUGACGCUGAGGUGCGAAAGCAUGGGGAGCAAACAGGAUUAGAUACCCUGGUAGUCCAUGCCGUAAACGAUGUCUACUAGCCGUUGGGGCCUUUGAGGCUUUAGUGGCGCAGCUAACGCGAUAA
rnacentral:rRNA from 1 species